rnacentral:rRNA from 1 species
AUAGCAAUAGCUACUUGCAUCAUUCUAAAUAUGAUGCAAGAUCGACUAUGUCGAAUAAAAUUCUAGGUAGAAUUAUGAUAAUGACAUUGUCUGCCUAUGUGUCUUGACCAAAUUACGUGCCAGCAGUCGCGGUAAUACGUAGAAGACUAGUGUUAUUCAUGUUUAAUCGGUUUAAAGGGUACCUAGACGGUAAAUCAAGCCUAAAAGGAAAUAAAUGAAGGGACUAAUUUACUAGAGUUACUUAUGAGGGGGUAUUAAAGUACUGCUGGUGUAGAGAUGAAAUUCUGUCAUACCUCUUUUCAAUAGAAAAAUAAUGGCACAGGUAUAGGCGAAAGCAUCCCCUUAUGUGAUAACUGACGUUGAGGGACGAAGGCUUUGUGUAGCGAACAGGAUUAGAUACCCCAGUAGUCAAAGCAGAAAAUGAUGAAUGUCAUAGAUUAGAUAUAUAAGUUUAUUCUAUAAAUGAAAGUGUAAGCAUUCCACCUCAAGAGUAAUUUGGCAACAUUGGAACUGAAAUCAUUAGACCGUUUCUGAAACCAGUAGUGAAGUAUGUUGUUUAAUUUGAUGAUCCGCAAAAAACCUUACCACAAUUUGAAUAUUUAUAUCUUUUAUUGUUUUUCUUUUUAACUUUCUUCUGAUUUUCUACUUAAAAGAAAACAAUAACAAGAAAAAAAAGGCAAUAGGAUAUAUAUACAAGCGUUGCACGUGUGUCUUCGUUUACUGUCGCUGGACUCUGGUUAUUGUCAUUAAAUUAACGUAAACGCUUACUUUAUUUUUAUAUAGAGUAGUUCCACGCUAUAUCGGAUAUGAUAACGAGGACUAGGACUAGUAAUAA